AUGUACAUUCCUACAACGUUGAUGCAUCAAAUCCCAUCAAAACUUCGUAGUUGAGUGCGCUUGGGCUACAGUAGUACUGGGAUGGGUGACCUCCUGUGAAGUCCUAGUGUUUUACAUG
rnacentral:rRNA from 1 species